UGCGAAGUCGUUAUCGCUCCGUCUUAUCACUAAGCCGGCCUCGUCGAUUAGAAAUAUUACCAAAUUACGUCGCUACGCCCCAACAAAGACAUUUCUAACAACCCCACGUUCGCUUCUGCACCUUUCCUUUGGGUUUUCCACGGGAAACUCCCGUAGAAGCGACUCCGAACACGCCUCGCCCUCUGUUUGUUGUUAGAUCUUAAGUGUUUACAGUGUAAGUUUACUGUUCGAUGUUAUUAGUGUUCGAUUAAGUACAAGUAAGGAUAGUUUAACUUUAGCUAAAACUAAUAUUUGACGUGUUGUUAAUUGUAGUUCGUAAGACUCUAUAAAGUACUUUUAUUGUGUGUGUAUGUAUGCGGAUAAUCCAGUUUAGGUUAUCUUAUCACAGCUACCGAGCAUUCAGCGGACAAACAGAUCGCUGUUUGGUUGCGUUGUAAUUUAAAUCCCCUGACUUGUGGACUGCUCUGGAAUCUGAAAUAAAGAUUCCUCAUAUUUCAUAAAGACAAGGACAAUAAUACUUAAAAAAAAGGUGA